AGAGUUUGAUCCUGGCUCAGAAUCAACGCUGGCGGCGUGCCUAACACAUGCAAGUCGAACGAGAAAGUCCGCAAGGAUGAGUACAGUGGCGACCGGGUGAGUAACACGUGACUAACCUGCCUCCGAGUGGGGAAUAACUCCGGGAAACCGGAGCUAAUACCGCAUAACAUCGCAAGAUCAAAGCAGCAAUGCGCUUGGAGAGGGGGUCGCGGCUGAUUAGCUAGUUGGUAGGGUAACGGCCUACCAAGGCUGAGAUCGGUAUCCGGCCUGAGAGGGCGCACGGACACACUGGAACUGAAACACGGUCCAGACUCCUACGGGAGGCAGCAGUGGGGAAUUUUGCGCAAUGGGGGAAACCCUGACGCAGCAACGCCGCGUGGAGGAUGAAGUCCCUUGGGAUGUAAACUCCUUUCGACCCGGACGAUACUGACGGUACGGGUGGAAGAAGCACCGGCUAACUCUGUGCCAGCAGCCGCGGUAAUACAGAGGGUGCGAGCGUUGUUCGGAAUUAUUGGGCGUAAAGGGCGCGUAGGCGGCGCGGUAAGUCACCUGUGAAAUCUCCUGGCUCAACUGGGAGCUUGCAGGCGAAACUGCCGUGCUGGAGUGUGGGAGAGGUGCGUGGAAUUCCUGGUGUAGCGGUGAAAUGCGUAGAUAUCAGGAGGAACACCUGUGGCGAAGGCGGCGCACUGGACCACAACUGACGCUGAGGCGCGAAAGCUAGGGGAGCAAACAGGAUUAGAUACCCUGGUAGUCCUAGCCCUAAACUAUGGAUGCUUGGUGUGAUCGGUACCCAAUCCGAU
rnacentral:rRNA from 1 species